rnacentral:rRNA from 1 species
GUCUAUUUGAAUAAAUAAAUAGUUUGACCUGCUCACUGAAUAGACUUAAAGAGCCGCAGUAUUUUGACUGUGCAAAGGUAGCAUAAUCAUUAGUUUUUUAAUUGGAAUCUUGUAUGAAUGGUUAGACAAAAGAAAAUUUGUCUCUGUAUUAAUUAAUGAAAUUAACUUUUAAGUGAAAAGGCUUAAGUAAAUUAAAAAGACGAUAAGACCCUAUAAAACUUUAUAUAAAUUUUUGAUUAAGUUGAAUUUAAAAUAUAAAAAUUUAAUAAUUAUAUUUAUUUUGUUGGGGCGGCAAGGAUAUAAUGAUUUUUAACUGUAUAAAAAUUAAAACAAAUGUAAAUGAGUUUAUUAUAAUUGAUCCUAAAUAAAGAUUCUAAGUUUAAGUUACUUUAGGGAUAACAGCGUUAUUUUUUUUGAGAGUUCUUAUCGAAAAAAAAGUUUGCGACCUCGAUGUUGAAUUAAAAUAUUCUAUACAAUUGUAGAAGUUGUAUUAGAAAGUCUGUUCGACUUUUAAAUUUUU